rfam:Alligator sinensis unplaced genomic scaffold scaffold505_1, whole genome shotgun sequence
AUCUUUGUACACUACCAGUAUUGUGGCUUAUGAGGUUGAACUGAGAAACAAUCAUUGCUAGUUGAAAGCUUUUCCCACUACCUUGCCCUGAUGACUUUAAAUACAGCUGUAGUAGGCAAUUUUCAGUAGUUUAUGUGAA